UACGAACUGUGCGAACGUUAUUCGGAAUCACUGGGCUUACAGGGUGCGUAGGCGGCUUAGCAAGUCAGGUGUGAAAGCCCCCGGCUCAACCGGGGAACUGCGCUUGAAACUGCUGAGCUCGAGUCAGCUAGAGGUACACGGAACUUCCAGUGGAGCGGUGAAAUGUGUUGAUAUUGGAAGGAACACCGGUGGUGUAGACGGCUUACUGGACCACGACUGACACUGAGGCACGAAAGCGUGGGUAGCAAACAGG
rnacentral:rRNA from 1 species